ACACACUGAACAGCCUCACCCGCCACAGCCUUGCUCUCAAGUGUUCUGCUUUCUCCCAUGAGCAGAAAUAAGGGGACCAAUUUAUCACACCUGCUGGGUGCCAGAUAAGGUAACUACGGCUUUGGGAUGUUACGCAAUGAGUAAGGCCUUGUGAGUCUUCACAGAAAGGGACUGGCCUGGAGGCUCCGAGCGGUCAGCUAGUUCCUGUCACUGUUCUCCCCGGGAAGCUGUGGAUGAGCAGUGACCCAGGCAGGGAAAGGGAGACAGAGAUGAAUCUACAAAAUGGAAAAAGUGUUGAACUUGGGAGUCAAGAGACCAGGGUUCUAGUUCUGAUGACGCCCUUCACGUACUGAAUGCCCUGGGGAAGCCGCUUCCCUUCUCUCAGCCUUGGGUUCUCCAUGUGUCAAAUUAGGCUGUGGAAAAAGAAACACCAACCUGGCUGAACAGAGACAUGAGCCUCUGUAAACUGAUUCUCCCUCCACAAAGGGGCCCUGACUCUCACAGCCCCAUCCUCUUUCAUCCUUGCUGCCUGAUCCUAGGAAGCUUUGCUCUGUGGUGGUGCCUGGAGCUGUGAUGUAUGCAGGCUUUUGAAACCCCAGCUUUGUGGAAGAAGUGAGACAUUGAUUUUUACUCUACCAUUUGGAGAAAAAUCAUUUUUAUAUUAACACAAAUGUUGAUAGACAAGGAGCAAAGUUUAAGGUUGGGAUGAGUUUAAGAUUCAUUCAUUUUUAAAAAAUUUAUACUUAUUGAGUGCUUACUAUGUGCCAGCACUGUCCUAGGCCCUUGGGGACUGGUUGGUAAAUAAUGCAGAUAGAGUAGUUGAUAAUGUCUGAUAUAGUUUGGAUGACAGUCCCCUCCAAAUCUCAUGUUGAAAUAUAAUCCCAAUGUUGGAGGCGGGGCCUGGUGGGAGGCAUUUGAGUCUCGUGGGUGGACCCUCAUGAAUGGCUGGGUGCUGUCCUAGAGGCACUGAGUGCAUUCUCAUGAGAUCUGGUUGUCUAAAAACAUGUGGCACCUGCCCCCUCUCUCUCUUGCUUCCACUCUCACCCUGUGACACCCAGCUCCCACUUCACCUUCCACUGCGAUUAAAAGCUUCCUGAGGCCCUCACCAGAUGCUGAUGCCAGCACUAUUCUCCCUGAACAAUCUAUAGGACCAUGAGCCAAUUAAACUUUUUUCUUUUCUUUUCUUUUCUCUUCUCUUCUUCUCUUUUCUUUUCUUUCCUUUUUGAGAUGGAGCCUUGCUCUCUCACCCAGGCUGGAGUGCAGUACCGCGAUCUUGGCUCACUGCAACCUCCACCUCUCGGGUUCAAGUGAUUCUCCACCCUCAGCCUCCUGAGUAGCUAGGACUACAGGCUUGCGCCACCAUGCCUAGCUAAUUUUUGUAUUUUUAGUAGAGACGGGGUUUCACCAUGUUGGCCAGGCUGGUCUCGAACUCCUGACCUCAAGUGAUCCCCUCUCUUCAGCCUCCCAAAGUGCUGGGAUUACAGGUGUGAGCUACCUCCCCCGGCCAACCUCUUUUCU